rnacentral:rRNA from 1 species
UACUCCUACGGGAGGCAGCAGCUAAGAAUAUUCCGCAAUGGACGAAAGUCUGACGGAGCGACGCCGCGUGGAUGAAGAAGGCCGAAAGGUUGUAAAAUCCUUUUGCUGGGGAAGAAUAAGUCUGGGAGGGAAUGCCCGGAUGAUGACAUGAACCGGCGAAUAAGCCCCGGCCAACUACGUGCCAGCAGCCGCGGUAACACGUAGGGGGCGAGCGUUGUUCGGAAUUACUGGGCGUAAAGGGCAUGUAGGCGGUUUUGUAAGCUUGGCGUGAAAGUCCACGGCUCAACUGUGGGAUAGCGUUGAGAACUGCGAAGCUUGAGUUAUGGAGAGGGAGCUAGAAUUCCUGGUGUAGGGGUGGAAUCUGUAGAGAUCAGGAAGAAUACCAAUGGCGAAGGCAAGCUCCUGGCCGAUGACUGA